rnacentral:rRNA from 1 species
UACGAAGGGUGCAAGCGUUACUCGGAAUUACUGGGCGUAAAGGGUGCGUAGGUGGUUUGUUAAGUCUGCUGUGAAAUCCCCGGGCUCAACCUGGGAAUGGCAGUGGAUACUGGCAAGCUAGAGUGCGGUAGAGGGUAGUGGAAUUCCCGGUGUAGCAGUGAAAUGCGUAGAUAUGCGGAGGAACACCGAUGGCGAAGGCAAUCCCCUGGGCCUGCACUGACGCUCAUGCACGAAAGCGUGGGGAGCAAACAGG